CGUGGGUUAGACCUUAAGGGCUUUGACCCAGCCACAGGCAUGAAAGGAAACCAGGGAGCUUCCCCUUUCCCAGCCGGCACGCUGUUCCUCCUGGAAGCUGAGGUCAGACAGAGGGAGGGACACACCCACGGGGGGGAGGGGCUAAGACCGGACCGCCAGGAUGAAAGGGAGCCUCGCACAGGCCCAAAGGAGGGCCUGUAGACCUCCCGAGGACAGCCCAGCCACAGCCUCCACCUACUAGAGAAGCGCCGGUGCUGGGCUCUCGGGAUCACCCAGUCCCCGUGGCUGAGGCCCCCGGAAUUCCGCGUGACGAGAUAAAAGGGGGGGGCUCUGAGGCUAUUGGAGGGGCUCCCGGCAGGCGGCCAAUGAGAAUGCUCCAAGUAUGCCAAGAGAAGGCAGGGAAGCAGGAAGACCCGUGUGGGCGAAGGUCCGCUCGGACUUCGCUGGACUCAAGGGGCACACAAUGGAGGGGUUGUCUGAGCCUCAGUUUCCCUGCCUGGGCACCUCUGGAGGGCUCACUGCACCGGCUGGUCCCGCCUGGGCCCCCCCAUUGGCCCCGGGGUGGGGUGGGGGGCAGGGGAGCGAGUCAGGCCCCACUUGCGCCCACUCACCUGCCAAUUUACUCAGGAGUCGCUCCCUAAGGCGCAUGCGCACUCACUCCGGCCGAGAACCAUUGAAGCAAAGCAGAAACCGUGAGAAUUGCGCCUGCGCGCCCGGACACUGUAAACUACCGUUCCCAGAAGGCCUCGGGACCUUGGACUUGAGGGGCCAUUGGGCCAUGCGCCCCCUAGGCGCUGCACGAGCUUCUCGGUGGAACGAUUCAAUUGUCUGCGGAGGCUUCUAUGGCUGACGCACAUAGCGUCCCGAGCUGCGCGUGUGCAAAUACCCUCCCUCCCAUUUUGGGGCGGCACUGGGGAAACUGCGCCCGCAUAGAGGGAGCCACAAAACUACAAUUCCCAGGAUCCCAAGUCGAAUUGACACGCCACGAGGGGGAGCGCGAAGAUUCUGGGAAAUGUAGUCAUCCCUGAGCAUCCUCUGGAAAGGAGAGAGGCAGCCUCCUCUACUCUCGAGAAGGCUGCUUCCUUACUUAGUUUGGACCGCCACCACCAAGUAGACACAGGGCGGGGCGGCUCUGAGCUCUGCUGGUUGGGGAAGAAGGGGAGGGGGAGGGGGAGGAUUCGUAGGAGGAAAGCUUUGGGGAAAAGGAAUGACAUUCUAAUAUACACAUAACAGAAUAUAUUAGCACAGGAAGAAUGAGGAGGACAAGCUCUGAGAGAAGAAGCUCCCCAAAUGAAGAACACAGUAAGGGGACCAGGAAAACAGCACGAAUGUAAAAUAAAUCAACAGUCACUGGUGAAACUUGUGGGGUGCAGAGAUGCACCCCUGGGGUUCGGGAAGGAGACCUUGACUCGGAAACUUAGCUUAAAGCAGCAAGACAGCAUGAGUGGCACCAUGUGGAAGUGGCUCCCAGAAUGCUUCAGUUCUGGGGUUUUAUAUUCUUCUACAGCAGUGAGGAGUUGCUUCUAGGGUGAAAGCUCCCAUUGGAGUCACUGGGAUGCCAUUGCAACCCUGCAACCUUCCCAGCCUGAACCCCUGGACAUUGCCUACAGCCAAUACCUCUCUCUCCUGACAACAGACAGGGACAGCUCUACAACCAUUCUCCGCUCUGAAGAAGCUACAGAAUUCUGAGACCAUCACUUCUAUUCCCUUAGCUAUUUGGAGAGGGGGGAGAUGGCAUGGGCACUGCACCCCCAGAAACUCAGGCAGACUCUUAUGGGGGGGUUCCUUUUCUCCCUUACACCUUCUGACUCCCAACCCCAAACAUCUGACCCUGGGAGGAUUCUCCUCCUUUGAUUGUCCCAUUGAUUGGAGAUGAAUAAAGACUCACUUCAUCCAUCUGUCCUCCAAAUCAGGAGAACCACCCCAUGCCUUCAGGCAAACCUCCUCCCCAACCCCUUGCCCCAGAGUCAUGUCUUCACUGCUGUAAAAGAAUAUAAAAACUCCAGAAUGGAGGCAUUCUGGGAGCCACCCUCCAUGUUGUGCCACUGGUGCUGUCUUGCUGUCCUCCUGAGGAGCAGCUCUUCUAGCCAUGCUGUUCUACCUAGGAGGCAGGCUUCCACCUAUGCUGCCUCCUGGUCAGAUUCAACAUGACUUUCCAAAUAAAUAAAUUUCUCUUUAUUUUUAAGCCAA